rnacentral:lncRNA from 1 species
UCUCCACCUCGGGCACUGGCCCAUGUCACCUUUAAGGCCACAAGGCCUAUUCCAGCUCAACAUGUGGACAGCUAUGCAGAUGACAAACAGAGAGCUAAGGUUCUUUUCAGGAUUGAUGACGUGGAAAAAGACAGAAAACGUACCCAUUUAAAAAGAGUGCCUUAAUUUGCUGUGGAGUUUAAAACUGGGAACCUGUUUUCCUAGACAUGCAACAGCCCUCUAGCCUUGCUGACGAAUUCAUGACUGAUCUCCCUGGGCAGCUCUGGCCCUCCAUGUUGUCUUGACUUUAGGACUGACACCCUCCAUGUAAUCUUAAUUCAUUUUUAGUCUAGGCUGACUAAAUCUUUCUCAUUUGGCAAAGUAGAAUGUCAGGAUUGCCAUUGUUAUAUUUGCUCUGGAUUUAUAUCUUAGGUUGAGGUUAAGUAACACAUUGACAUAAAUCAGCUCAGCUCUAGAUUCUGAUAUGAAAUUGUUUUACUGAGGAAAAGAAAAACUAAUUGUGUUGCUUCCUGAGAUUUGCUUUCAUUUUAUAUUAAACCUCAAAGGAUUUAUAAAUUUAAUGUCUUCUGUGUUAAAAUUAACUCUUCUGUGGGUUUUGCUUCUAUAAAACAGAAUGAAAAAAAAUUAUUUGUAAGAACUGGUUAUAGCUGUUGCUGCAAGGGGAUAACUCUCCUAGAGGUAGAAUAUAAAAUGUAUUGAGGCUGAUGUCAUUUAACAAAAUGGUAAUAUGCUUUUAGAGAAGGAGUCAUGUUUUCUGAUGGGCAGCACAAGGUUGCCGAAAUAAUAUUAAACAGUUUUUUACAGUAAUAAAGAUAUUGCAGAAAGGUGAAGAGGCUUUAGAUUUUUUACUUGCAAAGAUUUAAGUACUUCUUAUUGUGAUUCAUGUAAAUAUCUUCAAAAUUUUAUUUCUUUUCAAAUAAUAGCAAAGAAAAAAUAUCAUAGCUGUAUUGGAUGGGUCAUCAUCGGUUAAUUCAUGUUCUUUUUAAAAGUACUUUUUGGAGCUCAUGUCAUGGCUCAGCAGUUAAUGAACCUGACCAGUAUCCAUGAGGUUUCAGGUUCAAUCCCUGGCCUUGCUCAGUGCAUUAAGGAUCUGGCAUUGCUGUAAGCUGUGGUGUAGGUGCAGAACCGACUUGGAUCUGGUGUUGCUAUGGCUGUGGUGUAGACCAGCGGCUGCAGCUCCAAUUCAACCCCUAGCCAAGGAACUUCCAUAUGCCACAGGUGUGACCCUAAACAUAAAUAAAUGAACAAAUAAAACUGCUUUUUCAUUUAUUGACCUCAUCCACAGCAUGUGGAAGUUCCUGGGCUAGGAAUCAAACCCACACCACAGCAGUUUGUGGAUAUUUUAAAAUAAAUGUUACCGUAAAUAUCAAAAAAUGUAUGGAAUAAGAGAUUGCUAGCUGUUUGUUUGCUGAAAAAAU